AAGUCGUAACAAGGUUUCCGUAGGUGAACCUGCGGAAGGAUCAUUAACAAUUCUUUCUAUUUUGAUUGAUCUGUGUGAACUGUGUUAAUUUGGGUGGGUGUUGCUGCUAUAAGGGAGAUUGUGUAGAUGAUCGUAGAUCUUGUGGCAGAAAUCUAUCCACUCAAAACAACAUUAACGUCUACUUUUGUGAUUCAAUGAUUUCUUUUGUAUAGCAAAAGAAAAUUUAAUCUUAAUAACUUUUAACAAUGGAUCUCUUGGCUCUU
rnacentral:misc_RNA from 1 species